rnacentral:lncRNA from 1 species
GGGGGCGCGGCGUCGCGGAGCUCGGGCCGGUGGAAGGUUUACCUGCUAGGCUCGUCCCACCUGUGUGGAGCUCCCAUCGCCCUCCAGCGUUGCGCAGCCUGAAGGGACAGGACGGACAAGCGGGUGCCUCCUUCUAAUUCAUCUUCACCAUUGUGGUUGUCAAUAUGGCAUGCAGAAUUAUCCCUCUUUCCAGGUUUUCCCCAAGGACCCUGGACAAUGCUGGUUUUUCCUAUGUGCACCACCAAAGGGCCUAUCCAGCUUCUGGAGUCUACCUGGAUUCCUGGGCUCAUGGCCCCUUCCUCCAUCUUCAAACCAGCAAUGCUAAAUCCAACUGGAAGCCUGAGAUUCAGGGAACCCACUACUGCAGUCCAUAAGGAUCAGCCUCCCUUGGCACAGAAGAGGAUGGGGAAAGGUGGAGCCUGUAUAGCUAGAUGAGCAAACCAAAAACUUCCAGCACGUACUGAUGGAGCUGAGCCUGACACUCUAACCGGUUCUCUGGGUGUACUGCAAAGGUCUAAUAAAAGGCACCUUUGCCCGGUUGCUUCAAUUCUAGGAAGCUGUUCAAUGUUUGACUAUAUUUCUCCAUACUCAUUUGAAAACAGUUCAUCAGGUUAGUUCAGUUGAAUUAUUGCUCCUUGGGAGUUUUCCAAACCCUGGAUUUCCUUCGGAGAGAGCUAGAUUCUAUUCCAUUCUUGGAAUUCAGCUCCUUGCCCUUCUCUGUGACCCCGGAUCGCGAAUGCAGUAAAAAUAAAAAUAUCCUGCUGCCUCCUGCACUAA